rnacentral:rRNA from 1 species
GGUGAACGCUGGCGGCGUGCCUAAGACAUGCAAGUCGAGCGGGCCGCGGGGUUUUACUCCGUGGUCAGCGGCGGACGGGUGAGUAACGCGUGGGUGACCUACCCGGAAGAGGGGGACAACCCGGGGAAACUCGGGCUAAUCCCCCAUGUGGACCCGCCCCUUGGGGUGUGUCCAAAGGGCUUUGCCCGCUUCCGGAUGGGCCCGCGUCCCAUCAGCUAGUUGGUGGGGUAAUGGCCCACCAAGGCGACGACGGGUAGCCGGCCUGAGAGGGUGGCCGGCCACAGGGGCACUGAGACACGGGCCCCACUCCUACGGGAGGCGGCAGUUAGGAAUCUUCCGCAAUGGGCGCAAGCCUGACGGAGCGACGCCGCUUGGAGGAAGAAGCCCUUCGGGGUGUAAACUCCUGAACCCGGGACGAAACCCCCGACGAGGGGACUGACGGUACCGGGGUAAUAGCGCCGGCCAACUCCGUG